GAGAUAGAGGGGUGCUCGAAAGAGAGCCGUAACACAGGUGCUGCAUGGCUGUCGUCAGCUCGUGUCGUGAGAUGUUGGGUUAAGUCCCGCAACGAGCGCAACCCUUGUCAUUAGUUGCUACAUUCAGUUGGGCACUCUAAUGAGACUGCCGGUGACAAGCCGGAGGAAGGUGGGGAUGACGUCAAGUCCUCAUGGCCCUUAUAGGUGGGGCUACACACGUCAUACAAUGGCUGGUACAAAGGGUUGCCAACCCGCGAGGGGGAGCCAAUCCCAUAAAGCCAGUCGUAGUCCGGAUCGUAGUCUGCAACUCGACUACGUGAAGUCGGAAUCGCUAGUAAUCGUGGAUCAGAAUGUCACGGUGAAUACGUUCCCGGGUCUU
rnacentral:rRNA from 1 species